ACUCUCGGCAACGGAUAUCCCGGCUCUUGGAACGAUGAAGAACGUAGCGAAAUGCGAUACUUGGUGUGAAUUAUAGAAUCCCGUGAACCAUCGAGUCUUUGAACGCAAGUUGCACCUGAAGCCAUUGAAGGCACGUCUGCCUGGGCGUC
rnacentral:rRNA from 1 species